GAUUUCCUGUCGUCUCAACUAGUGCCCCACGAUUGUAACGUCGUUUAUGCUCUUGAAGCCACGUCUUCUCUUUCAACAGUCACACAAAUGCGUGACGUCAUUUGUUAUUGUAACAUAAUGGCAAUACUGAGCUUAGUGGGAAGAGCGCGACGUCGUUACAAGGUGAAAUGUCUCUCACGAUGCCAUUAGCAGUAGGAUCGAUCCCUGUUGUCUCGUGUCGAGGGAUUGGAAUUAUGACAAUGUUUGUAUCGCGAUAUAUGGAGGCUAUUUCAUGGGGGUUUUCGAAUACGAUUUUUAAGGCAACGAGUGAUGUGAGAAAACCAUUUUCGAUAACAGGAAGUAGCCGUCCUACUGUGGUUCACAGAGAGAGAAAAAACAGGUUCAUCAGGAAGUAGCAUUUCACAAGAACGAUGAUCUCUGUACAUCAUGUAUACUGCUACUGGACAUCUUUCUGGAUUGUCAGAUACCUCUCGAUUGAUGAUUGGUAACUUUUGAUGGAGCAUGGUUCGUAUUGGUCGCCGUCCGUUUUCUUCACAGACAUGAAUAAUUUGGCCAAAUAUGCAUCGAGAGCAUCAUAUUUAAUUUCUUCUGGCUUUCUGUGUUCACCUUCCAGAUGUAGAAAUUCAUUAAAUACUUUCAAGUCUC